ACCCCACAGUGUCUUGAAGGUACCUGCUUUGGGCUGAAGUGUGCUCCUGGCUCAGUUCUGGUUGUUGUUUAGAAAAGUGUUCCCAUUCUUAGUGCCAAAGAGAUGCUGGCUGCAAGCGCCUGCACACCUGGUGUGUGUGUCUGCGCUGCGUCGGCGGAGCUAUGAAUGGGACCGAGGGGUGUGCUCUCAGAAGCAUCGCAGCAUCGGCACUGAGCUGAGAGGCAUCCUCUGCUCUGCACGUCUGCACUGAGCUCGGCACCAGAGGAGGUGAGUGCAGCAAAUACUGUUUCACUCAUUUCUGGGUUUGUAGUAGUCUGUUGUCAUUGUAUGUGGCUCAUUUUUUGCUUUCUGUUCUGUGUAUAUUUUUCAACAUGAUUAUUAUUUUGUUCACUGCAAUUAGUAAUUCUGAUUGUUAUCUGCCUGUGUCCCAUUUAGUCCUGCACUCCACAUUACAGCAUGCAGUAGUAGCACAGUGAAUAAGUGUUUAUUUAUGAACUCUCCUCACACAGAGCUCUGUCUCUAUUAGAGCUUCCUGCAGAUGAGAUCUGUAAAACUCAUUUGUUAGAGACAUUUUCAGCUCCAACAGCUCCUCAGUCUAAUGUGUGAAGGACAAUCUGCUCAGACCAGUGGUCCUAUCGCACUGUCUCAGGCAGAACAUACAUGGCUGAGCUCUGAGCAGCUGCUGAGGAAGACCACCACAUUCAUAUUCUUCUGAGGGACUCCCAUACUGUCUGUGUAUGCAUGUACCAUAUUGCCUGUGUAUGCAUGUCACACAGCGUGACAGCACACUGCCCAUCACAUCAAAUAUAAGGACAUUCUGUCCACAGGCAACAGCAGACAUGACACUUUUCAUGUGCUCAUUCACAGUCUGCUCGCCCUCCCCUUCUGUCUGCACCUAACCUGUAAUUAAAGGUAAUAUUCUUAGCAGGCUGAUCAACACUACUCAGGAAAUCACAAGACACCAGCUUUGACCCAACUCUGGAGAAAGGCUUGAGUGACCUUUUAACCUAAAUACUAUUGGUCUUCAUGAACAGGCUGUUAGCUCAUAGCUGUGGGCACGUCUGUCAUCACUUAAGCCUGACUCAGUCUUUUAUUAAAAAGCUAUCUGUAAAUUCAUAGGUCUGGUCGGCCUCAAACAUUUACAGGUUGUGUAAAAAACAUUGUUUAUUAUAGCAGACCUCGCUUAUCUGUUUGAAUGCCUGAAACAAAGUUUUUACAUGCAUGUGAGUAUGAUUCUGAUUAAGUAAUGUAUUUUUUUUUUUUUAUGUUUUAUUAAAAACAAACAAAUUUCAUGUCAUGUCCAAAGGAUAGUAGCAGAAGCAGGACUGUGAGGCUAAAUAUUCACUUUGCUCAUUCUUGUAGAAAGAAGUGCCUUUUAAAAACCUCUCAGUAUUACUCUGUGGCACAGUUUUCAUGAUUAUGUAACUGUUAUGUGUGCUGAUGUGCACACAAGACACACUAGUUUGGGAUGUGCACCCUUCACAGUUUAUGCACUGUGGCCUCACUGAGGGAGCUUAAUGCUAAAGAUACUCAUUCAUACAUGACAUGUUUGACCCUGAUCCUGCACAGGCAGAUAGUUAAAUAUGGAUCAGUUCCUCUGAUGAGCUGGUCAAAGGAGCAUAGUCUCUCUAAACAAAAUUAAUAUGUUCCCCUGAAGACAAUGAUGCAUGUAGUACAAAGUUUAAUUUACUACUUAUGGGUGUAGAAUAUGAUUUUAAUCAUUCAACGACCUAUUUUGAGUAUUCCCAGUCUAAACGCAGUUGUGUGAGGGUGUUCCCCCCGGUCUCUGCUGGUGACAGGGCUGACUCCUGCUGUCUCUGUGGGAGUGGGCUCCUGUGGAUCUCGUCCCAUUCAUUCUUUAUGAAGCUAAACCUCGCCUUCCGGUGAAAAGGAGACCUGUCCUGGAUCCCAGUGGCAAACAAUCAAAACCCGUCUGUGUUUGGCUCUGUGCAAAAGGGAAUUCAACUUUACUUGAUCGUUCCGCUUACCCAUGGGCUCUCCAUGGUGGGAUCAUACAGUCUAUGGGUGGAAUCUGCAGAACUUAGUCUUGGACAAACUUUAUCCACAUUGAAAGUGAACAUAAAGGUUCAUAAUAGUUCACAAGAAAAAAAAUAUGGUCAUAAAUUUCAAUCCAUGACCUUUUGUGACUAAUAUUUAAAGUCUCCAAUGUUUUUUCACCACAAUCUUUAUGGACAGAUGAAUAGGCCUAUUUCAAGUUUCUAUUAUGUAUUUUUUGUUGCUUAUCAAAAUAAAUUCAUCAGCCUCACCAUGGUUUGUUUUUACGGCUGCAAAACACAUUAAAACACACACUUCAAAUAGGUAUUUUCUGUAGGUAUUUAAUUCAUCUGCAGCAUAUAUGACAUGUAUAUUUACUGGUUGCAGUUUACUGUAUCAGAUAGUAGAGAUCACAAGUCUCCAGGUGAAUUGAUCCAAGGGGAAAGUGGUCCUCAUUGCAGCACAUCUUUGAACCUCACAUCUCUUCUUUUAUGUAUUUAUCAAUGCCAGGCUCCAGGCUCCAAGUAGUGUUUUCAUUCUGACCUCGAAUCCCCCAGCAUCAUAGCACACGCAGUAGAAGCAUCCUUAAAAUCAAAGCUAAUUUUAGUCAAAAACAAGGUUUCAGAUUACUGUGUUUUUCUCCCAUUGAGAUGCUGUAAUUGGUUCAUGUAUAUUUCAGUGUUACAAUUAGCACCAAACCCCAGAGGAAACCACUAAGCAGAGCAUACAAAUCAUGUCAUUACUGUAAAAACAAGUCUAUAGGACGCCAUCUAGUGUUUGGAAGCUCUUAAAGCAAUAAACACAACAUUAACAGAAAAUGCACACACAAAAACUAAUCCUGUUUUGUUCAUAGAUUUCCAAACACAAACUGGACUGUGACUUUUUCUAUUGCGUGGACUACAUUAUGGAGCAAAAGAUGAAUGAGGGUCCCAACAACACAUCUCCUCAAAAGCAGAUGAAGAACCGCUCUAAGUCCAUAGAGGAGACACAACACAUGAAGAAGGGCAUUUCUGCACAGAAAUCCCUUCCGUGCAGACCAGAACUGGAAAAGGUGAAGGAGUGUCCCUUAGACUCUGACACACCGUCCUCUUCCAUUGAGCAGCUAAAGUGAUGACGUCACCGUGAGCCGCUAGUGUUUACAAUGGAGUGAUAUAUGUUGAUGUGCACACAAGUACAUAAUGUUUAGUAAAUGUCUUUAUAGAAAAUAAAUUAAGUUAAAUGUUGUGAGACAAUCGCAUGUGAACACCUCAAUAGCCCUAGAGGCAGCGGUCCUGUUUUCUGUUUACAUCUGAAUGUGUCUUAAAGAUAAACUCGUAUGUCUAGUCGAUUCACUUGUUUGUGAGACACAGUUGAACCCUCCAUAAUGAACCUAUACUGUACCUUACUCUGAUGUCGAGCCCGAAACAGGACAAACUGCCAAACUGGAAUAAAAUCAUUGAUACAUG